rnacentral:rRNA from 1 species
AGUGGCGGACGGGUGAGUAACGCGUGAGCAACCUGCCCCAUACAGGGGGAUAACAGCCGGAAACGGCUGCUAAUACCGCAUAAGCGCACGGGACCGCAUGGUUCUGUGUGAAAAACAAUAGUGGUAUGGGAGGGGCCCGCGUCUGAUUAGCCAGUUGGCGGGGUAGAGGCCCACCAAAGCGACGAUCAGUAGCCGGCCUGAGAGGGCGGACGGCCACAUUGGGACUGAGACACGGCCCAAACUCCUACGGGAGGCAGCAG